UACAGAGGGUGCGAGCGUUAAUCGGAAUUACUGGGCGUAAAGCGCGCGUAGGCGGCUUUGCAAGUCGGGUGUGAAUCCCUCAGGCUUAACCUGGGAACUGCAUUCGAGACUGCAUUGCUAGAGUAUGGGAGAGGGAAGUGGAAUUUCCGGUGUAGCGGUGAAAUGCGUAGAUAUCGGAAGGAACAUCAGUGGCGAAAGCGACUUCCUGGACCAAUACUGACGCUCAUGUGCGAAAGCGUGGGGAGCAAACAGG
rnacentral:rRNA from 1 species